rnacentral:misc_RNA from 1 species
UACCUCUCAACCCCGUCCCUUGCAAAAGGGAUCGUCUCAGGGUUUGGAUCGUGGCGCCUUUGCCCGGAAGCUCUGCUUCCUUGGGCUGCGCUGAAUUGCAACAAGCUGUACCUUUGUACUGGCGGUUUGACCCGUUGUCAUAAGCUCACACUUUCAAUGGGGACGUCGGUCGGGAUGGGCUUACCACAAAUCAAUCUAUACA